AUCACUUCUCAGCCUUUUGGCUAAGAUGAAGUGUAGUAUCUGUUCUUAUCAGUUUAAAUAGACCAUUUUCUAUCAAUACCAUAAUCACAUUCUCUUCUCAUCAUUCUUUGUAUUGAAUUUGCACUGUAGAGACUAAACAGAUGGUUUAGAUAGGUUCACUUACUAUGCCCCAGGCGCUAUAGACAAAAUGUC